GGUAGAGAAGAAUCGUGAAGAGAGCAAAUCACUUAACUGAAGGCCAACCCAAUCAUAACUGAUACAGUAAAUUUUGUAUGAAUUUCAGAUGUAUGACCUCACAGAAGGCCAAGACUAUAAUGGUGAUAACUCAGAUUUUAUAAAGGCUUCAUCUCUUAAGUAAGAGCACACAACUUUUCUCCCUGCUCAGUGGUCACUUUAUCAAGUCCACCUGCCAAUCACAUGGUUGGAAUUCAACAUAUAUGCUCAUGUUCAAGAGGUUUAACAUUAGAGUCAAACAUUAGAAUGGCAAAGACACUUUGACCAUGG